CGGAUUAAAAAAAAAAAAAAUAUAUAUAAAAAGGCCAUUCAGUUGUGGAUCGAUCAUUGUAACAAAGAAAAGGCACGGUCUUUAACGGCCAGUUGGCAGAGUAAUGCCUUGAAACUAGGAAUACCCCUGACCGAGGGGGGUCAGGAGA